UACGUAGGCAGCGAGCGUUGUUCGGAAUUACUGGGCGUAAAGCGCGUGUAGGCGGAUGGGCAAGUCUGCUGUGAAAGCUCCUGGCUUAACCGGGAGUGGUCGGUGGAAACUGCCAAUCUGGAGGACGGUAGAGGUAGGUAGAAUUCCCGGUGUAGUGGUGAAAUGCGUAGAGAUCGGGAGGAAUACCUGUGGCGAAGGCGGCCUACUGGGCCGGACCUGACGCUGAGACGCGAAGGCGUGGGGAGCGAACGGG
rnacentral:rRNA from 1 species